rnacentral:misc_RNA from 1 species
AAAAAAAAAAAGAAAAAAAAAGUUCAGAUGAUGAUAAAAGAAGGGGGAGCAAUGCUACAAACAGAAUAUGUAUAUAAGGGCUACGUCGUUCAGCAACAGGAAAAGACGCAUAAUAGAAUUUAAACAAAGAACUUUGUAAGUAAAAGAAUUAGAGGUGGAAGAGUUUUUAUUUUAAAUCAAAAUUAAUUAAAGAAACAAUUUCACAAGAAUGAUCACUUAUAGUGCAUUUAUAAGUGUGUGUUUUUCUGUCUCUUUACUUAUCCCAACUGCAUUGACUAUAUUAAAUCAACUGUUGAAGCUCCAAUUUUGUACUUUGUCCUUGUUUGUAUGAAUGGAUGCUGACUUUCUAGAUUGUUGCAGGUAUCAAACUGGAGCUCUCACACCAUUAGUACAAUGGCUCUCACAAAGCAUGAGAAGAGCAGCCCAACCUCCCCGUCCUCCCAGGCCAGUUGCAAGGGCUGAAAAUGCUGCUGUUGCUGCAAGGCAGAAUGAGAAUGUUGGUUUAGCAGAGGGUCAAGCUGGGGCUGAUAAUGAAAAUCGACCAGCAGAGGAUGGUAACCAGGCUGUAGAGAACGAGAAUGUAGCAGAACCUGGUGGCGGAGACGGUGGCAACCACUGGUGGGGAAUUGUCAAGGAGAUUCAAAUGAUUGUCUUUGGUUUCAUCACUUCUCUUCUUCCAGGCUUUCACAACGUAGAUUAGAUCAUAAUUUAGUAUGCAAACCAACCUUUGGAACAGUGGUAUAGAAGCUGGAAAACCUUGUUUCCUAUCUUUUUUGAUUUCCGAAAUGAUGUAGAGUGCCCCUCCUCCCCCAGCUUAUUUGUAGUUAGACUCACAUGUUAUGUUGCUUUUAUUUUAGACCAUGUUUGGAUCGUUUAGAAAAUAGAGUAGAAAUGAAAGGUCCAAGUAUGCUAAUGUUGUUUUGUUUCCAGAAUUUUAAUGCGUUUGAGAAAUUUCAGUAUCGAAAUGUAUAUUGGUGACACAGCAUUAAAAUCUUUGAAGGCCUAUUAAAUUUCUG